GUCUACGGCCACACCACCCUGAACACGCCCGAUCUCGUCUGAUCUCGGAAGCUAAGCAGGGUCGGGCCUGGUUAGUGCUUGGAUGGGAGACCGCCUGGGAAUACCGGGUGCCGUAGGCU
rnacentral:rRNA from 1 species